UGUAUUAUUUUCUGCCGCAAAUUGUUGGGUUGUCAAUCGGAUAACCCUAUCUAGCAGAACAAUAUCCUUGUUUUCUUCUCGCCCUCUCCCCUGUUUCCUCCCCCAUUUCCCCCUUGUUUUGAUCUCGAUCUAUCUUCUUUGUAUGCAGGUGGUGAAGCCGACGAGCAAGCAGACGAAGGUAGACACGACGUCAGUCACCGAGCACAGCCACGGGCAGACCUGCAAUGGGCAAUCGACGCCGCCCAUCGCCAGGAAUCAUUGUUGGAGGAGUUGUUGAUGGUACACGCAAUCCACCACCAAGCACCACCGGGGGAGGAGCUACAUCGGGCCAGCUAUGUCGUACGUUGCCGGGACGAGCUACAACGGUCUGACGACGCCGACUGCGUGGACUGGGCCUGGAGCCGCGUGGUUGGCGGAGCCGGGGCGGGGUGCUUCACAGGCUACGACGCCAUUGGUUAACUGGAGUGAAAUGCCGGACUUGUUCGAGACACGGUAGAGACGCUACUGCGAGGCCUCUCUGCCAUCACCGAUGCUGCCAUGUUCGUCGGGCGUCGUGUGCGGCCCAGAAUAUCGGAGACACAGCAGUUUGGUUGGGCUGUUCAGACCGAACUCCGUCCAGCGCCAUUUUUUCUGCAAGCUAGAGGACAGCGGCAGUCAGGCAGGCAAUCCGGAGAUGAAUGGGAGCUUUGAGUAAUUGGCCAUGAAUCAUACCCUAAUGAAAACCAGUACAACUUGUACUCGAAGUAGGUAGGAUAUAUGUUACAGGGAGGACUGCAUGGUCGAUGAUAACCUGAAGCCGUGAGCCGCCAGACCAGUGCAGGACGUCUACUUCCUGCUGCCGUUGUACCAAACCACUCUCCAGCAUUACACAAACGAUGAUGAUGA